rnacentral:rRNA from 1 species
UACGGAGGAUCCGAGCGUUAUCCGGAUUUAUUGGGUUUAAAGGGUGCGCAGGCGGGAGAUUAAGUCGGCGGUGAAAUUUUGCAGCUCAACUGUAAAAGUGCCGUUGAUACUGGGGAGCUAGGAUUUGGUUGCUGUGGGUGGAAUGUGUGGUGUAGCGGUGAAAUGCUUAGAUAUCACGAGGAACUCCGAUUGCGCAGGCAGCUUACUAAACUACUACUGACGCUCAGGCACGAAGGCGUGGGGAUCAAACAGGAUUAGAUACCCGGGUAGU